rnacentral:lncRNA from 1 species
GUCAAACUAAUCCUUUCCUUUAAUACAAACUUGAACACUGUGAAUGCCUCAUUUAUAGUGGGUAGGGAAAGAGUUUAUAAAAGUCCAAGUAAUAAAAUGUAUUCAAUUACUUGGGAAAGUUAAAAAGCUAAUGCAACAAUGUUACAUCCAGAUAAAAAACAUUAUUCAAAAGCAAUUCAAAUACCGAAAAGGAUUUCAAAUUGAAUAUUUUAUUAACAUGGUAGUUGCCUUUGUAACAUGUGCACACACACUCGCACACUCAGAAUGAUCUGCCUGGGGGAAAAAUACUAAAUAUGCCUAAGGGGAAAAUGAAAAAUAAAAAAAUUCCUGUAGGUUUUCAUUAUUGUAGGCAAUUAUGUCCACAUCACUUACAAAGCUAUUGCCAAAUCUGUCCAAGGAAGCAGAGUUUGAAGUGAGGGCUAGGGACAGGAAUCUUGGGAAAAAUUCAACAGUGGCAUAGCAGAGCUCUCAAUAUGAGAAAGCUGACAUAAUGUGGACUUUUGCUGUGAAUUUCCUCUUUGCAAAAUAUGGGGAGAGGUUUAUCAAUGGGCAGAAAAUAAGAGAAGGCGGUGUGAAGUAGGCUUCUGCAGUCAAUUUUCCUCACAGUAUUGUGCAGGGUCAUCAAGAAAAUGCUUAGUCUUUCUCUGGAACCAGUUUCAGAACUUUUCCAAUUGCAAUGCUCUUACCCUCAUCUCUUAAGGUGAAACGACCCAUCUGAGGGAAGUCUUUAAAGGUCUCAAGGCAGAUGGUUCCUGCUGUCCUUAAGCGAGCAAUGCAUACUUGAUCUUGUUUCACAAAACGGGGUCGGGUCUUACUUUUUUCUCCUGAUUUUUUGUCUACCAAGC